rnacentral:rRNA from 1 species
CAGUCGCCACGGGAAUACAGAGGGUGCAAGCGUUAAUCGGAAUUACUGGGCGUAAAGCGCGCGUAGGUGGUUUGUUAAGUUGGAUGUGAAAGCCCCGGGCUCAACCUGGGAACUGCAUCCAAAACUGGCAAGCUAGAGUACGGUAGAGGGUGGUGGAAUUUCCUGUGUAGCGGUGAAAUGCGUAGAUAUAGGAAGGAACACCAGUGGCGAAGGCGACCACCUGGACUGAUACUGACACUGAGGUGCGAAAGCGUGGGGAGCAAACAGGAUUAGAUACCCCCGUAGUCCCUGUCUCUUAUAC